AUGUCACCAUCUUCAGUGAGCUCCAGAGGAACUCCAUUCAGCAGCAUGGUGCGUGCAAAACGGUUCCCGUCUUGAGCCGUCAGGUGGUAUUCUUCCCUCUUCUCCAGCCCAUCGGAGGCUUUGCUCCCAACCCAGGAGACCGUCCUCUUCAGGCCAUGAACAAAGGAGCUGUCCCUUGUUAUUCCCUGCCCUUGCGCUAGGCCGACGUUGAGGUCGUUCCUGACGGUGACCAUGGACCCCAUGUUUUGGCUCAGGUUGAUCAAGAGGAGAGCGAUACCGCCCUGA
rnacentral:rRNA from 1 species